UACGUAGGGGGCUAGCGUUGUCCGGAAUCAUUGGGCGUAAAGCGCGUGUAGGCGGCUCGGUACGGCCGCUGUGAAAGUCGAGGGCUCAACCCUCGAAUGCCGGUGGAUACUGUCGGGCUAGAGUGCGGAAGAGGCGAGUGGAAUUCCUGGUGUAGCGGUGAAAUGCGCAGAUAUCAGGAGGAACACCAAUUGCGAAGGCAGCUCGCUGGGACGUAACUGACGCUGAGACGCGAAAGCGUGGGGAGCAAACAGG
rnacentral:rRNA from 1 species